AAGUCGAACGAGAAAGGGGGAGCAAUCCCCUGGGUACAGUGGCGUACGGGUGAGUAACACGUGGAUGAUCUACCUCUUAGUGGGGAAUAUCUCUGGGAAACCGGAGUUAAUACCGCAUAAGCUCGCGAGAGGAAACCCGCAAGGGGCUGAGAGAGGAGUCCGCGGCCGAUUAGCUAGUUGGUAGGGUAAAGGCCUACCAAGGCAUAGAUCGGUAGCCGGCCUGAGAGGGCACACGGCCACACUGGCACUGAAACACGGGCCAGACUCCUACGGGAGGCAGCAGUGGGGAAUCUUGCACAAUGGGGGAAACCCUGAUGCAGCGACGCCGCGUGAGCGAUGAAGCCCUUCGGGGUGUAAAGCUCUUUCGACGGGAACGAUAAUGACGGUACCCGGAGAAGAAGCUGCGGCUAACUACGUGCCAGCAGCCGCGGUAAUACGUAGGCAGCAAGCGUUGUUCGGAGUUACUGGGCGUAAAGAGUGCGUAGGCGGUCUCGUAAGUUUGUUGUGAAAUCUCCCGGCUUAACUGGGAGGGUGCGGCGAAAACU
rnacentral:rRNA from 1 species